AUUUGGAUUUAAUUUGGUCGCUAAUGGGAAAAGGGGAUUCUGAGAGAUCAGGGACCACUUCUCGUUAAUCUUUCUAAUCCCCAGGACCUAAUACAGUAUCCGGAGCCUGCUGGAAACUCAAAAACAUUUACUUAAUUGAUGGGUGGGUGGAUGGAGGACGGCGAUGAAAGAUCAGCAUAGAAAUUGACAGAUGGGUUGUGGAUGGUGGAAGAUGAAUGGAUAAAUGGCUGGAGAAAUAGCCAAUGGACAGAUGGAGGGAGGAAAACAACCAGGAAGAGGAGCUGGGGGAACAGUUGGAAGUUGCUUCCUGUGAGACAGACGCCGGUUCUCCAGUGCCGGGGUGACAUUCACAGACUUGGGAAAAGCACC
rnacentral:lncRNA from 1 species